UAUUUUGAUGGAAAAUUAAAAUGAGAUUUGCGAGGAUAACUCAUCAUUGCUUAUCAUUUCUUUCUCAUUUUCGCGUAGAUGGGGUGGAGAAAUCUCUGAAUCAUAGUCUCUUUAUUUAUAUAAAAAAUCAGGAAAUAACUAUUUUCACUGUGUCAAAUAAAAAAAUUAAUUUUUUUUAAUUUACUUUUCCUCCAAUGCAAGUAUCAUAACCCAAUAUUUUAAGGGCACAGAAAAACACAAGCUUCCGCCUUGCCUACACAAAGCUGCCACCUUGGGUAAAAUUUUUUAGGUCCUUAAGUUUGUGUUCACCUUCGUAGUUAAGUCCUGAAACGCAAUUUCUGCAAAAUAGACAUUGGCAAAGAAGACGACACCACAUUGCUGCUUACCAUAUUUGCAAAGUUUGGUCUCUGUUUAGCAUCAUCAUACCUUCAUGUAGAAAGUAUUUUCAUAGUGUUGUGUAGGUUAAGGAUUUGCUCUACGUUGUAAAAUAACAAAGACUUCCGAGUAAAAUACAAAAUAAUAAAUUUUUAUUAUAUUCGUCAGACUUUAAAGUAGAUUACCCACAAUAAAAACUAUAUUUAUUGUAAUUGAACCCAAUUAAAGCUGUGGUAAAUUAGACAUCGACCACCGAUAAAGAAGCAAAUUUUUAGAAAUUCAGUUGAAGUUAUACACAAUAUAAUGCAAACACUGAUUCAAAAAUAUUGAAAUGUAUGCGUUGUCAAUGAUGUUUUCCUCUCCAUGAGCUUCCACAAAAAUAGUGCACAAAGUUUCCUCUUUCUUUUUUCUUUUCUUUUCC
rnacentral:misc_RNA from 1 species